CAAUAGCGUAUAUUAAAGUUGUUGCAGUUAGAACGCUCGUAGUCGGAUUUCGGGGCGGGCCGACCGGUCUGCCGAUGGGUAUGCACUGGUCGGCGCGUCCUUCCUUCCGGAGACCGUCCCUACUCUUAACUGAGCGGGGGCGGGAGACGGGACUUUUACUUUGAAAAAAACAGAGUGUUUCAAGCAGGCAGCUCGCUCUUGCAUGGAUUAGCAUGGGAUAAUGAAAUAGGACUUUGGUGCUAUUUUGUUGGUUUCGAACACCGAAGUAAUGAUGAGAAGGGACAGUCAGGGGCACUCGUAUUCCGCCGAGAGAGGUGAAAUUCUCAGACCAGCGGAAGACGAACCACUGCGAAAGCAUUUGCCAGGGAUGUUUUCACUGA
rnacentral:rRNA from 1 species